CAGAACUGCUGGACGGAGUCAUCUUAACCACAGCACACCGAGUGGUGUAGUGGUAACCAGAAUAAACUCAGCACCUGGUCCAGAGACAGCAUUCUUCCACACUGCGGAGAUGAGCCUUUCAGUGUCCCUGCAAGGAGCUGUGUUUUAUCUGAAAAGAUGACGGAGACAGGGCUGCUGGCUGCAAGGAGCUGGAGUUUCAAAGGGAACACACACAAUGAAUGGAAGCUGUCACAGCUCACAGGUCUUGGGGAAUGGAAGAAGAAGUUCCAGUCAGUUCCAGUUGCCAACAGCAUUUCCCUGCUCUGGGCACACUUGUAAGCCCUUGCACAAAGCCUGCUAUUCCUGCUACAAAUGGUAAGCUCCUUGGAGCACCCGGCACAGGGCCUUGGCCACAGUGAACAUUUUGCAAAUAGUUAUUCAGUGAAUAAGCAAACGGAUGAACGAGACGGCCUUCAGAUCACCAGAAGGAAAUGGUGCUCCUGCAUCUUUGAGAGAAAGGAAAGCAAGUUAAGUUUCACCAAAAUGAUGCUAUAAGGGAUUCUGAAUUACAAGGUGAAAGCUAGGUAUCUGCGUUUGCGUUUGACAUUUGCCCUUUUGUCUUCCCUGCACAGAACAGAAAUGGUGAAGAGCAUGGGCUUUAGAGUCAAAUGCUGUGGAUCUGAAUCUUGGCACUUGCAUGGUGUCUUGGACAAGUUCAUAUUUUGCAGAAUGGUGUCAGCCGCUUGGAAGAACACCCCACAGGCAGUAGUGGAGCGCUCUCUGAAGAAGUACCAGUGGCAUCGACCCUGUGAUCACCCCUGGGCUCCAGAUGGCGCAGAGGAUGAUGUGCUGGGGAAACCAUGGACGUAAACAGCUCUGGUUUGAAAAGUGACCCAGAGGAUGUGGAUUCUGAAUGUGACAAAAUUUGAGGAUUCCCUUAAAUAAUUUGCUUCAUGAUAUUUUCCCUUCAUGCAUGCAUGAGAUUAAUAUACAUGAAAAACCCAUUCUACAUAAACCUAAAAAAGCUUUCAGUAAGUAUAAAAUAUACAUUCUAAGUAAUAAAGAUCCACUGUGUCACAAUUCACUAGGUUAUCUAUCUUUAUUUCUCAGAGGGACAUAAAAUAACAGCACCUCUGACAAUCACCAGUACCUUAGAUCAUGGAUGGUCAUGGCUGCAUCAUCUGCCUGCCAGUCAGCAUGUCCUGAGCAACCAACCCACUGUAGCAGGUGUGGUGAGCCGAGAGUCAGAGGUCGGAGGAAGAGAAACAUGCUGGGGUCCCUGCCUGAAGUUGGCCGUGGAUUCUUCCUGCAGACUGGCACUGCCUGGGGCAGCCCAGGCCUCCCAUGCUCUCCUCUUAGCAUCUGGCUGCCAAGCUGAAUCUGCUCUGGCUUUUCUUGGGUGGCCUGGUCUUGGCUCACUGUCGGCUUUCAGGCAAGUCUUUUCUUUUCAUCUGAGCAAGUUGCAACUGCUUGGGCUGAGCCUGUCCCAUGACUUACAAGGGCCAGGUCUGGGUUGGGCAGGCAAGUAGGUCUGAUAAGGAGGAUGGAGCAAUUCUGGCCGGCACUACCUUGUAGGGAAUCCGGGCUUUCCCUGCAGGGCUCUGGGCACAGGCAAGGGAAAGAAGGGUGGAGACUUGUACCCAGUGAAAGUGGCAGGCCUCUCUGAAUAUCAGUGAGAGAGAGCAGGACAGCGUCUCCAAGGUAGGAUGUUCUCCUGAUUCCAUGUGCCAGGGCCUACAAGAAACCAAGCAGUGACCCUUGCUUCCACCCCCUCCACCAGUAUGAAAAUCUCUAGGCUUUCCUCUUUGAUUUUAAGAGGAUUCUGUGGGGAGAGGAAAUUUUGCUUAUCAAGAAAAGUAUCACUUAAUUUGGUGACAUUGAGUACAGGUGGUGACAUGUGAAUGUCAGAGAGGGAAGGGCCGAGGUUGGGGCAAGAGGAUGAAUGAGGUGACCGAUUGCAGCCAAUGUCACAUGUCGGGAAGAGUCACGAGCAACCACUCCUUUCUGAAACUCAUUCCCACAUAUAAUGAAACAGAUUCCUGGAGGUGAAGAAACAAGGGAAGCUAGAGGACUCUGGGAAUUCAGAGUGGGCAGUCUAAUUCCAUGAAAACAGUUCGACAUAGUGGUCAGACAAGAAGUAGUAGUGAUUGCAAAUCUGCAUCGCCUGGAAUUGCACAACUCCAAAGGAAUGACCUGCUUUGUUUGGAAGGAUAGCUCUGCGCUGGGAAGAGCAUAGGCAAGUAUCCUCUGCUUCACUACUACCUCCUCUGAGCAAAUCAGCUCAGCCCCAUGGGCCUCAGGCCUAUAGAAACCAUGGUGGGCACUAGAGAAGGCCAACUAUCCAUAGAGGGUCAACAGAAGCUGUGGCCUCUCUUGUUCAUUCAUUCAUUCAUUCUGCAAUAACUGCAAUAACUGAGUACCUCUAUAUACUAGCGGCUGUGCAAGGAGAUAAUGAAGAUGCCAUUUCUACAAUCAAGAACUUGGUCUGGUGAAAAGAUGGGCCAGAGAAUAGUAGAUUACUGUAAUGAUCAGUAAUGUACACUUGCUGUGUGCAAGUCAUUGUUUUAAGUGCCUUGCAUAUAUUAACUUGGAAUCUGUACAACAGACUGCUUACAUUAUUAUUCUUAUUGCAGAGGGAAAGACAGGGGCACAGAAAUUACACAACUUGCCCAAGGUCACAGACCUGGUAGGAGGCCGAGCCAAGAUUUAAACCCAGGCAGACUGGCUCCAGAACUCAGGCCUUUAACCACUCUGCUACAUCAACUAAAUACAACCAAAUCAACUGUUCAGUGCAGGAUGGCAAGAGGUGGCAAAGGAUGCUGCAAAAGCACAGAGUACUUCCCAAUCUGCAAGGUGGGGAGUGGGGCAGAGGGGACUCCCUGGAAGAAGUGAGACUACAUGGAGGCCUGAAGGAUGAGCGGUGGCCACUCAAGCUGAGGAGAGACUGAGGGAAAGUUCUAGGCACUGAGACAGAACCAGAAAGAGCUGCUGGCAAAAAGGAGCAUAGGCUGUUGAAGGAAUUGCGGGAGCCCCUUGUGGCUGGAGGGGAGGUGGGGGAAGAGGCUAGGGUGGCGGAGGAGACUGGUGGGUCGUGAUGUGAGAGGAGCUGGAAGUGGCUUCCUGUGGCCUGGGGUUACCCUGGCUUCCCGGGCACUCCGGGGCCUGUAAACAUGCCAGUCACACAUGGGCCCACUCACAGGGUGAUUGCCUUUGUGUAAAUAAAUUAUCCCUUACAUAAAUCCCUGCACAUCCAGAGAAAAGGGGCCUCCUGAGGCCACCCCUGAGGGGAACUUGGAAAACCUGGGAUGCGGUGACUUCGUCUUUCUGAACUUCAGUUUCAUCAUCUAUAAAAUGGGUUUUGUAAUAACCCUAGCCAAGGUGGAGCCUGAUAGGAUGUUUGUGAGGGACCUAGAUUCCCUCACCUUGUUCCCAGCAGAUUUCUCCAAGAGGGAACCUUCACUAAACAAGGGAGGCACUCUGUGGGAGAUUCUAGGGCAACAGCUUUCAAAUGGGGUUUUCAACAAUCUUUGAAUAUGCAGGAAUAUGCUAAUAAAAACAACAUGACUAUUUCUAUUAUUUCUAUUACGUCACUAUUCUCUCCUAGAAACAGUGUCCAGUUGUUAAGCAGGGGACUGUGCUUUAAAAUUUUAGUUCAGAUUCGAAAGUCAGCCGUGACAAUCUGCUAACCAAAGUAGAUAACUGAUAGGGGAGACUGGAUCAAUAAAACACCAUUUGCCUCCCAUCUCGCAUGGCCAUGUUCUCCAAACACCACUGGUUCCUUCCCUCAAGGCCCAUCAGUUGGGUUACCAGGUCAUUUGUAAUAAUCAUCAAGGGCCAGUGCGCUUUGUAGCGUGUUUUAACAUUCUGUGGAACAAGAGCAAGCAUUCCUGCCUGCUCUAGCAACUGAUGAAAUUGGAGUGAAAUGCAGUGGCUUGAGGCAUCUGCAGCAUUCCUGUGAAGGCCAAGAGGAAUAAUCUGUAUCGGUUAUACUGAUGCAGUCAUAAAGGAAAUUAAACUUUGCAUCAUUUUUAGCAAAAUGAAGUGUGGGACCAUCUGGACGUCACAUGUACAUCUAUAUUCUUGAAAAUUUUUGCCUCUUGUUUCAUUUAAUGGUUUAGUCCAUAUAUGUACAGAUCCAUAUAUACACAGACGUAAACAUCUCAAGAAAAAUUUUUUUGUGCUCAUGUUCUUAACAGG